AUACUUAGCUGGCAGGGGAGAUACCAUGAUCACCAAGGUGGUUUUCCUAGGGCCAGGCUCAUCCAUUGUGCUCCAUAUGUGCUGAGCCCUGCAAUUUCUCCAAAUGCGGGACACUCAGCUGCAAAAUUUGUGGUGGUGAGGGACUGCAUUCACACCCUCC